rnacentral:rRNA from 1 species
UAUUGCACAAUGGGGGAAACCCUGAUGCAGCGACGCCGCGUGAGUGAAGAAGUAUUUCGGUAUGUAAAGCUCUAUCAGCAGGGAAGAAGCAAGACGGUACCUGACUAAGAAGCACCGGCUAACUACGUGCCAGCAGCCGCGGUAAUACGUAGGGGGCAAGCGUUAUCCGGAUUUACUGGGUGUAAAGGGAGCGUAGACGGUAUGGCAAGUCUGAAGUGAAAGCCCAGGGCUUAACCCUGGGACUGCUUUGGAAACUGUUAGACUAGAGUGCUGGAGAGGUAAGUGGAAUUCCUAGUGUAGCGGUGAAAUGCGUAGAUAUUAGGAGGAACACCAGUGGCGAAGGCGGCUUACUGGACAGUAACUGACGUUGAGGCUCGAAAGCGUGGGGAGCAAACAGG